GAUGAACGCUAGCGGCAGGCCUAACACAUGCAAGUCGAGGGGUAACAGGGAAGCUUGCUUCCGCUGACGACCGGCGCACGGGUGCGUAACGCGUAUACAAUCUACCUCUAACUGGGGGGUAGCCCGAAGAAAUUCGGAUUAAUACCCCAUAGUAUAAAGAAUUCGCAUGUUUUCUUUAUUAAAAUUUCGAUGGUUAGAGAUGAGUAUGCGUCCUAUUAGUUAGUUGGUGAGGUAACGGCUCACCAAGACUUCGAUAGGUAGGGGGUCUGAGAGGAUGAUCCCCCACACUGGUACUGAGACACGGACCAG
rnacentral:rRNA from 1 species